rnacentral:sRNA from 1 species
UUCAACGAAUAUUGUAGAUAUAAGACGGCUGUAAUAAAAAUCCAACA